CUCAGGAUGAACGCUGGCGGCGUGCCUAAUACAUGCAAGUCGAACGCACAGCGAAAGGUGCUUGCACCUUUCAAGUGAGUGGCGAACGGGUGAAUAACACGUGGAUAACCUACCUCAAGGUUGGGGAUAACAUUUGGAAACAGAUGCUAAUACCGAAUAAAACUUCGUAUCGCAUGAUACAAGGUUAAAAGGCGCUACGGCGUCACCUAGAGAUGGAUCCGCGGUGCGUUAGUUAGUUGGUGGGGUAAAGGCCUACCAAGACAAUGAUGCAUAGCCGAGUUGAGAGACUGAUCGGCCACAUUGGGACUGAGACACGGCCCAAACUCCUACGGGAGGCUGCAGUAGGGAAUCUUCCACAAUGGGCGAAAGCCUGAUGGAGCAACGCCGCGUGUGUGAUGAAGGCUUUCGGGUCGUAAAGCACUGUUGUAUGGGAAGAACAGCUAGAGUAGGGAAUGACUUUAGUUUGACGGUACCAUACCAGAAAGGGACGGCUAAAUACGUGCCAGCAGCCGCGGUAAUACGUAUGUCCCGAGCGUUAUCCGGAUUUAUUGGGCGUAAAGCGAGCGCAGACGGUUGAUUAAGUCUGAUGUGAAAGCCCGGAGCUCAACUCCGGAAAGGCAUUGGAAACUGGUCAACUUGAGUGCAGUAGAGGUAAGUGGAACUCCAUGUGUAGCGGUGGAAUGCGUAGAUAUAUGGAAGAACACCAGCGGCGAAGGCGGCUUACUGGACUGUAACUGACGUUGAGGCUCGAAAGUGUGGGUAGCAAACAGGAUUAGAUACCCUGGUAGUCCACACCGUAAACGAUGAACACUAGGUGUUGGGAGGUUUCCGCC
rnacentral:rRNA from 1 species